UACGUAGGGUGCAAGCGUUGUCCGGAAUUAUUGGGCGUAAAGAGCUCGUAGGCGGCUCGUCGCGUCUGCUGUGAAAGCCUGGGGCUUAACCCUGGGUCUGCAGUGGGUACGGGCGAGCUAGAGUGCGGUAGGGGAGACUGGAAUUCCUGGUGUAGCGGUGAAAUGCGCAGAUAUCAGGAGGAACACCGGUGGCGAAGGCGGGUCUCUGGGCCGUAACUGACGCUGAGGAGCGAAAGCAUGGGUAGCGAACAGG
rnacentral:rRNA from 1 species